rnacentral:piRNA from 1 species
UCCUCUAGGUGACAGGAUAAAGUGUGAACU